rnacentral:rRNA from 1 species
GGUGGUGCAUGGCCGUUCUUAGUUGGUGGAGCGAUUUGUCUGGUUAAUUCCGAUAACGAACGAGACUCUAGCCUGCUAACUAGGCGUACUUUCCGGUAUCUCGAAGGCCGACGUCUCUCGGGUUUUCGUUUGGCGCGCAGUUUGCGCAUCGUUUCGGCGGUGUUGCGGCUGUGUGUCGUGCGGUCCGGGAGUUCGUGGUUUUUACUACCGGCGUACAAUUGAAUCUUCUUAGAGGGACAGGCGGCUCCUAGCCGCACGAGAUUGAGCAAUAACAGAUCUGUGAUGCCCUUAGAUGUUCUGGGCCGCACGCGCGCUACACUGAAGGAAUCAGCGUGUCCUCCCUGGCCGAACGGUCCGGGUAACCCGCUGAACCUCCUUCGUGCUAGGGAUUGGGGCUUGCAAUUGUUCCCCAUGAACGAGGAAUUCCCAGUAAGCGCGAGUCAUAAGCUCGCGUUGAUUACGUCCCUGCCCUUUGUACACACCGCCCGUCGCU